rnacentral:rRNA from 1 species
AACGUAGGGGACAAGCGUUAUCCGGAUUUACUGGGCGUAAAGCGCCCGUAGGCGGCCUGACAAGUUGGACGUGAAAGCUCCUGGCUUAACUGGGAGAGGCCGUUCAAAACUGUCAAGCUAGAGUCUGGAAGAGGAGAGCGGAAUUCCCGGUGUAGUGGUGGAAUGCGUAGAGAUCGGGAGGAACACCAGUGGCGAAAGCGGCUCUCUGGUCCAUUCUUGACGCUGAGGCGCGAAAGCCAGGGGAGCAAACGGG